GCAAAAUCUGAAAUUGGUGAUGGAUCGUUAUCUGCUGGGCUGCAAGGAGAAAGCUCCGUGUGUAACCCUAUCAGACAUGAUGAGGCUUGCGCCAGUGACAACCACAAGAAGAGUUGUCUGCUUGUAUGGUUUCAGAAGGCUGUCUGUCUACACUGAGAAGAAGGAUUCAGGGGUGCCACAACUCCUUUGAAACAUAAAGCAAUGAUGUGGCAUUCAGCGCAGCUAUCAACUGGGGAGCCCAAAUGUGCCAUCUGCUAUGUUAGAAGGCAACAGAAGAAGGAAACAACAACUCAUCUGUGGAAAGCUGCUCCCAUACGGAGCAAAGGAGGAGCGAAGGGCAGUUCGUUUCCAUCCCCAGGUGCUGUUUUGUGCUCCUCAGAGCCAAUGGAGCACAGGACCAGUCGCUGCUGACCGACGGGGUGUUUGAGCAGUUGGGGCCCACUGCCGGCGAGCAGGGUUCGCUGGAGCUGUGUCCGUGUUUGCUUUCCAGGUUGCCUUCCCUGUGCUGUGCUGCAGCAUGCGAUGCCUUCAGCCAUGGUUCAGCUGCUGAGGAAAGCUGGAGGAGUACUGCAGUCCACAGCCCCAACUGGACCAGCAAGGUCAGAAGGAGAGAGGCAGAGAAACAGAGACAG